rnacentral:lncRNA from 1 species
UCCAACUCCCUCGUGAACACAGCUGGUUUGGUCUACACUAAGGUUGUUUUAUAUCAUAUCAGUUCUUUGAACUUUAAUGACAUGCGAAUGAGGAACAGUGAUACCGUUAUCUCUAUCUGAUCGCCAUAUGAAAUAUAUGUUAUAUUCAAGGGACACAUAUGAUGUCUACAUUCGGAAUUAUACCGCAUAUCACAUUCGGUAGGAUAUAACAUUUGUAUUUAUGAUAUUGUUCUCUGUUGCGAAGGUGAGGGAGUUUCUCGCUGCAUUGAAGACCCAUUGAUGGCAUUCGGCUGUUGUCUGCCCUAUGGUCGGGUUGUUGUCUCUUUGACACAUUGCCCAUUUCAAUUCUGGAUUUUAAGUAAUUACGUGUCUUUCUAAAAUGUUCUAAUGUGUCCGAUAUUGUAACAUUUACAGGAGCAUUGCCAUAGGGGUUUAUCAUUACACUUUGAUUAUUUGCCAUGACAAAGAAAUUAAACUUUCAGUAUAUUGUUUAGCUAAAUUAUGUGGAAGAUUAAACACAUAACCAGCUAAAAGAUGAAUGAGAUGUGGGUUGAUAUUACAAUUUCGCUAUUUUUUGUUUAGAUAUAUUUAUUGCUUUUUUUUAAUUCUGAGGUUGUUCACCUUGGCUGUAAAAAUUUUGGAAAACCUAUUCGAAUUUUGGGUUCGCAAGGCUCUUCCGCGUCAUACAUUAUUUUGAUAUUUUAACGUUUAUGAUUUGAGCUUCACUGAUGUAUCCUUUUCAGCUUCAAGAUAAAAAAAAAAUAUUAAAAUCUAUUCGAAUUCAAAUAUUAAAACAUGAUAGAUAAAAUACAUGAUUUUUUUUUAAUAAACAAUUCAAAUGUAUAUAUUGUGACAAAAUAUUUGAUAAAACUUAAUAACAAACUACACCGAAAACUAUUACUUCUCUUUAUUACAAUAUAUUCAUACUUUUUUUCUCACCAGCACACAUUAUGGUUAAAAGCGACUCAGAAAAUUGUUCAUGAUAUUUUUUUUUACAUUGACAGACAUCAGUUUUCAAACUGAAUCAAUUGGUAUCCGAAAGACAAUCUAUAAUGAUUGCUUUAUUUUUAUAUAGUUAUUUAUAAGUGGUGUAAUAUAGAUUUUCUAUUUUUAAAAGAAAUAUUAAUAAAUAAUUAUAAAAAUGCCGAUAUAUGCAAGGAAUAAUAUUAUAUCUUACAGUAAAUUAAAUGAUUGAAUAGCUGAAGUAGGCAUUCUUAUGUAAAAUGUGUACUUUACUUUUUUUAAAGUCCUUGUGGCGUUUGUCGGCGUAUGUGUGGCACACCAAACUCCAUUCAGAUGUUUUAGAGACAUCUGUGACCAUGGUGAUGUAAUGUUUUCAUUUAUAUUAUUAUAUUAUUUUAUUUGUACACAAAAACAAGUAUUGUGUAGAUCGCAAUAAAUUAAUUACCAACGAUUAAGUUCUCUAACAAUUCAAAUAGACAUACAAACAAAGAAAACAACAAGCGACAACACAUGUUCUUUAUUCACUUGGUAUAGGCACAAAAUAUGGUUGGUUCAUUAUCUUUGGCUAAAAGGGGAAACAAGAAAAAUACAGACAAACAAAUGUACAUAAAACACAGCAUGGAAAACUAAAGACUGAGCAACCUAAACUCCACCAAAAACUGGGAAUAAUCUCAAGUCCUUUGUAAGGAUAAGAAGGGCCUUUUCCACACGUGGCACCCCUCGCGUUGCUCAUCAAACUCCGUUUAGUGAUAGUUACCGUUUCGGAACUAUUUUCCUUUACUCCAUCGUAAGUGUAGAGUAGUAUGCAGAUCGGAGCUGAAACUGCCGGGGAGUUAGGUUGCCCAUGUCAGAAUAAGCCGGUAUUAAGUCUCACUGCUUUGGUAGGUCACGUCUGGGAAAAGGUAACGGGAUUGCAGUAACGACAUCUGGAACAUAACCGAUAUCAUCUAUGAAACGGAUAGUCCAUAAGGUCAUUCAACUCGUGAGGGCGUCCGUAAAACUCUAUCAAGGAAAUCAUGAUAGGAAAUACAACAAGCUUUGGUAUAUCGUAUCAACAGGGAUAUAUAUACAUUCAGUAUGCAGGUGUUGCUAGACUGUUGCAACAUAGAAAUGGAAAGAUUACAAUUGUGAAGCUAAAGUCACCUCUUUUGUCGUAAAUGUUAGUUUUCAACCGACCCGCAAGUCAAGUAGGUAAAGAAAUAAGGCAGACUUAACUGUUUCCAUUAUAUCCUUUAUCUCAAGUUCGAUUUUUACAACAGUAAUGGGCAAAGGGUAUAAGGAAUAGAAAAAAAAUACCAAAACAAUUAACGAUAAACAGAACUGGAGGACCCCAACCAAAACCUCCUUUAUUUGAAUAUGUUCACAUGAAAUAUUCGUGUAUCUCUUGUCAACCACAAUUUAACAAUCAACUUUCCUCUCGCAGUAUAUUAUGUUUACUACGUGUUAUAAAUAUAUUAUAAUGAGAUACAGUGAUACAUACGGAAGCCGAUAAGGGCCAUUAAAAAAAAUUAAUUAUGUCGUAAUUACGACAUAGCAUGUCGUAAUUUCGUCAUAACAUGUCGUUAUUACGACAUCGCGAUGUCGUUAUUUCGACAUAACAUGUCGUUAUAACGACAUCGCUAUGUCGUAAUUUCGACAUAACAUGAUUAUGUCGUUAUAACGACAUCGCUAUGUCGUAAUAACGACAUAACAUGUCGUAAUAACGACAUCACUAUGUCCGCGUUAUAACGAUUUACGACAUCGCUAUAUAUAUAAAAGAAUAUAUGUAUUAUGAUUGCCAAGAGACUAAAUGAUACAGAAAUUAACAACUAUUGGUCAUCAUAAUGCCCCCAAUAAUUAGAAAAGCCCCCGCAUAGUCAGCUAUAAAAGAGGGACGAAAGAUACCAUAGGGAGAGUCCCCGAAAUGCUGUGUGGCAGACAGUGUUAUUGAUAAAUUAUUAGCUCCCUUAAUAAAAAUUUCAUAUUUAAUGUAUUUCAUUGUUAAAUAAUUUACAUGAAGCUUAAUAAGUAUAUAUUUGUUAAUUGCAUAGCUUUUGCUAUUUGAAUCCAUUGGUUAAAGAUAUUUAUUUAUAUUGUAAAGUUUAAUAUUUGCAUCGUCGCAAAAUCUUUGGUUACCUUCAUUGAGAAAUUUAUAUAUUUUAUAGAUUCAUUGAAGUUCAUUAAACUACCGUCGUAUCGUGAAAGGGCUAUAUAGCCUGUCAAGGACGGUAUAAACUUCUAAAGAAUAAUAUGUGGAAAUAUAUUUGAAUUGGCAUGCAGUUCUACCAAGGCAAGCUAAGCUCUCCACCUCCCAUUUCAUAAGCGCAAACUACAUUGCUUCUUGUAAUAAGGGUGAAUUAAAGUAUUGAUUGCUCUAUUUCUACUUUCAAACGUUGGGCACGAUGUUCCUACAACACCACGUUACACUUUUAAAAUUAAAAAAUGCGGCGUCGAAAAGGGUUUUAUUCGGUUUUUUAUAUGUUGGUUGAUUCUGGUUCUGUUCGUUUUGUGAUGUAAUUUUAUCAUAAGUUACCUCAAGUUGUGGAAAUCGAUUUAAUAAUGUUUACCCUUUAAGUUAUUUCAACAAAAAAUGCAGAACUGUCGCAAGUAAUGUAGGAAGGAAAGAUGGGACGGAAGUGCAUGUAUACGGUUUUCCAUAAAAAAAAAUAUUUGUAUAUGUACAAAACUUUUAUCAUAGGAUGUUUAACUUUCAAGGUGCAUAUCAUCUGUCAUUGUAAAAUUUCUAUAUCUUAAUUCAACCCCAAUACAAAUAUAUCUGACACUGCAAGUAAAUCGAACAUUUUUACCCUUAAUUGGUUAAAUUUGAAUAGAAUUGUAUUUUCCCUGGCACACAAGUUGUCGAAAUGCACCCCCUCAAUUACUUGAACCUUGACUUGAGAAUUAUUUCCCAAGUCAUCUAUAGUGUUCAACUUCUGAUAUACAUUUUAAAAUAUAGUAAUCUACUAGUACCCCAAAAUCGUCCGCGAAAACGGCUAAUAUAAUCCCGGGUUUUUAUUGAUUCGAUGAAACAGUUUUCGUCGCUGUUUGGGAUUCGUCUUUCAAUUACUUCCAUUUCAUACACAAGUUUAUAUUGACGAAAAGUUCCGGCUUCGCUACUACAUGAAUUACUUUCAUCACGACAGUUAUAACAUGAAUAGCAGGACAAAUCGCGAAGUAAAACAUUCCGUGAACUGGUUUUAAGUCUUUUAAUAUUGGUGAUUGCACCUUACUGAAGUGACGACUUUAAAUGGUCUAUUUCGGAGUACUUCCGCACCAUAAAUUUCAAUUCGCAUUUUACAUUUAGAGGACUGUUUUGGUGUCUCCAAUUUGUCUUUGCAAAAGUUGGACGAAGUUCAUGUAAUGAGACAUUUCCCCAUUCUUUUAAAUAAAUCGUUAAAAGCUAUAAACGAUUAAUAAAAAUUGCAAAAUUUAACCUGUGUCGAACCUAUGUCCCCGGGCGGAGUCUAUAGCAACAUGCACUAUUCUUUUUUUCGGCAGCAAUCAUCAACCUCGUUUUCCAAAUUUAAUAACACGAUUUGUUGUUAAUUAUCAUGAACAUUUAAUUGAAACUUUUGCACAUGUACAUUGUAACGUCGGAAAUUGGCGUCUUUCGGAUUUUAGACGUUUUCAGACGUUUGGACAAAUUGGCUACCGUUUUGUAAUGUGUGGAAUCAUUUUCAUUCCUUUAAGACCCAAAUAUGUAGUUAAUAAGAAAAGAAUCUUGGAAUUUUUUACUCUUCGUGUAUCUAUCUAACUUUUAUUUUAAUCAAUCAUAAAAAAUACGUGUUAACUGCUUUGAAAAAUGAAAUAUCGACUUGGACAAAAUGGCUACCGUUUGAAAAACGACUGUGUAGAGAAGAUUUUUUUGAAACAGCAAUAUUUGAACUCACGAACAAUGAGGCAAAUAUUUGUACUUUUGUUAGAUAUUAUUAUUGUCUUACUCUUUUUAUUCAUUUUCUGCUAUAUAUUCUUAUAAAAUUCACUUUCAGUCGUUGAGUUAACGAAAUACGUCGUUGGACAUUUUUCUUAUUCCAGCUUAAUAUACCACCACCGAGUCAAAUGAAAUCUGGCAAAAUAACGGCUUUUAACGCCACAAAGAACCGACACAUGUCGCUGUUCCUGUCAAGAAUCAAAAAGAUCAGAAAAUAAGAAAUAGGAUCACUUUAAUUUUCAUAAGAGUUGAAACAGUUUUUCCUAAAUGUAACGUUGGACAUCCGUUUUUUCACAUAGUUUUGUUAUUUUAAUCCUCAAAUAAACUAGGUAAUUCUUACUAUAUGAUCAAGAGCUGUAAAAACAUAAUUUAAAACAUAUAAUAUAUUGAUUUUGUUUUAAUAUUGGUUCGUGUUUUCUAACAUUUUUAUUUUGUUUUGCGGAUGAAAUUUCGAAGAUCCCGUUUUAAAUCCUAGGGGUUGUAGGAACAUCGUGCCCACCGUUUGAAAGUAGAGAUAAAGCAAUCAAUACUUCAGUUCAUCGUUAUUACAAGAAGCCAUGUAGUUUGUGCUUAUUUAAAUAGGUGGAAAGCUUGGCUUGCCUUGGUAGGACUGAAUGUCAGUCCUCUUAUCAGUUCCACAUCUUAUUCUUCAACAAAUAGAAGUUACUAUCGAACUAUCGACCUUGACAGGCUAGAAAACCUUGCCACGGUCGGUACAUGAUUAAAAUUCAAUAGGAUCUAUGAAAUAUAUAAGUUUAGGCCACACCAAUUUGAUUCCUUGUUCGACGGACCCGCCCGCACCUAUUUUUUUCAAAACAGAUUUUUUUUAUUUUUUUUAUAUUCCCGCUUCCCGCAUCCGGAAAUGUAAUCAUGUCCAUUUCCAGCACCGUUUUUUUUGUAAAUAUUAUAAAAAAGAUAUCAACAUUUGUUUUUAAAAUCACAGUCUAACCUGUAUAUAACGAUUUUAAGCAUAAAAGCACCCCACCACACUGUGUAAAUAUCUGUGAGAAUAUUUGUUUCAGCAUGAAACCUAUUUAUCCAAGGGAGUGCUCCGAUAAAUUUACAACAGCGGAAAUACCUGUAAAGAACAAAAAAAUGGUUUCUUUCCCCCUUACUUAUAUUCCCUAUAAAAAAAUGUUCGUUGUUAGAAUAAAGUACAAUGAACUUCUGAAGGAUUUGCCUUCAACUGCAAUUAUAUUAUAUGCUGGCAAAACAAAACUAUCCAUAGCCGCUGCAUGUUUAUGCACCUGUCCUGAUUGAUUCAGGGGCCUGUCGUUCAGCAGCUAUCGUUUGUUGAUGUAGUUUAUUGGUAUUUUUCCGUUUGGAUAUAUAAAUUAGAUCGUUGGUUUUCCUGUUCGAAUUGUGUACGCUAUAAUUUUGGGGUCCUUUAUACAUGUAGCUUGCUGUUUGGUCUGUAUCAAAGCCCUGUGUAAAAGGCCAUACUUUGACCUGUGUUUGUUAUUAUCAGGUUGAGAACAAUCCUCCCUCAGACAAGGGUCAUUUUGCUGAUGUAGAAAAAAAUAGAAAUACCAAGGAUUUGUCUAGUUCUUCUAUACAAAACCUUUGAAAACUUAGGAUUUUGUACUCAAAAAUGGGAGAGUUACAUCAUAUUUUAAACAACUUUUUCUAAAAGAGAGGUCCACUUAUUUUGAAUAAUAUUAAACUGUUAAAGUAAAUGUGUUAAUUUAACAUGGUAUAAAGUCCAGGAAUAUUACAAAAUUCUUGGACAUGUUUUGACCAUUUAAUACCAGAUAGAUAUAUAGUUCUUUGAGAAAAUAUGAGCCUUUUGUACAAACAAAUAUAUUAUAACUUAUAUUGAUCCCUCAUAAAACAUGUAAAAGGGAUAUUUAUAACAUUAAGGGGUUGCCCCCAAACUGAUUAUGACUUGGGUGGAGAAUUGUCUCAUUGUCAGUCACACAUACAAAUUAAACCAGAUUUAAUUAUUUCUUGGUGAACAAUGGUGAGCAGGGAAAAAAUACUUCAGAAAUUAAAGAAAUGUCAAAGUACAAGUGAUGAAUCAAGUUUUAAUAUUGUCAAAACCUACUAUUUAAUGUAUACAAAAAAAAAAAAAUAUAAUUGCUCGCCUUUACUUUUCAAGCUUCGCCUCAAAAAUUUGCAAAUUAAAUAUUUUUUUAUUAAAAUUUUCAAAUCGCUCGCUCGCCCCAAAUUUUGGAGUCCAAAAAUCCGUAGAACAAGAAAUUAAAUUGGUGUGGCCUUAUCACAGAAGGUAACCAAAAUGGUAACCAAAGAUUUUGCGACGAUGCAAAUAUUAAACUUUACAAUACAAAUAAAUAUCUUUAACCAAUGAUUUCAAAUAGCAAAAGCUAUACAAUUAACAAAUAUAUACUAUUAAGCUUCAUGUAAAUUAUUUAACAAUGAAAUACAUUAAAUAUGAAAUUUGGAGUUUUACCAAGGGAGCUAAUAAUUAAUUAAUAACACUGUCUACCACACAGCAUUACGGGGACUCUCCCUCUGGCAUCUUUCGUCCCUCUUUUAUAGCUGACUAUGCGGGGGCUUUUCUAAUUAAUGGGGGAAUUAUGAUGAUCUAUAGUUGUUAAUUUCUGUGUCAUUUAGUCUCUUGACAAUCAUAAUACAUAUUCUUUUAUAUAUAUAGCGAUGUCGUGUCGUUAUCACGACAUAGCUAUGUCGUUAAAACGACAUAGUGAUGUCGUUAUAACGACAUGUUAUGUCGAAAUAACGACAAAGCGAUGUCGUAAUAACGACAUGUUAUGUCGAAAUAACGACAUAGCUAUGUCGUAAUAACGACAUGUUAUGUCGAAAUUACGACAUGCUAUGACGUAAUUACGACAUAAUUUUUUUGUUUUGAAUGGCCCUUAUCGGCUUCCGUAGAUACAGGUACUGGCAUUUCUUAUUAUAUUUAUGAAGCUUUCUAAUACUGUAACAGUGUAAUCAAUAAUUAUCGGUCAUUUGUCACUUGGAAACAUUAAAAGGUGUAAAAACUAUUUUCUAUCCAAAAACUAGUAAUAUAUGACAUUAAAUCAAGUGAAACCAUAUGCACCUUCAAAAUUUGCAGAAAAUCAGAACAUCUUUUAGAAAUGAUCAAUAUUAAAAGAGGGACGAAAGAUACCAGAGGGAUAGUCAAACUCAUAUAUUGAAAAUAAACUGACAACGCCAUGGCUAAAAAUAAAAACACAGACCCUUCGUGUUGCUUAUGUUAUUUCAAAUCCGGUAAAUAGUCUAAUUCGGUUGGUCACAUUAGUGAAAAGGGAAGGGUAUUGUAGUUACGACAUAAGGAACAUAUCCGAUAUCAUCUGUGAAACGGUUAUUCCAUAACGGUCAACCUACUCGUGAUGGCGUCCGUACAAUUUACGAAGGGAUGACUUCAACUUCACCAUUUAGAUUUCUUGGUUUGAAAGCUUCCUUGUGGAAUCAUAUUCAAAACCUAUAAUUUUUGUAAACGGACAUUUUUUAUAAGAGUGCAUUUCUUUCUAACACAAAUGACACACACGGUUCAGCGAGCACACGUAUAGGAUCAUUUGUUUCUAACAUUACUUUUGCAAAUUUUGCAUAAAUUUUGACAAACUGUACACUCACUAAAAAUUAAUCUACAGUUUGUCUUCAUCGUUUGUUAAUACAAACGCUGCAUUUCUUUCUUACUUUCAAAUUGGCAUUGAGUCAAUUAUCUACUCAUAUUUUACCCAAUAAAAAGAUGCUUCUGACGAAAGAAAAAGAGGUAUAAUCCUGAUUGUCAUAACUAAAAAACAAUGUCAACAAUUACACAAAUUUAUGUAUUAUUAGGUAUAAAUGUAUGCCCUCUUUUCUUUCAGUGUUUCUAUUUUACAUUCGUCUGCUGGAGAUGAAGAACUGACAAUAAAAAUAUAUAUGAAUUGGUGUCAUGUGUGUCUGAAACAUCUUCUACAGAAGCUAUUGUACCGCGAAAUAAGAUUGUUUACAUUUUUGACAGUUCAAACAGGUCCAGUAAACACUGUUUAAACGAUGCAUUUGUUUCUAUUUUAAAUUUUAACGUUAAACACAUGAUAACAAACGGCACACAACGUUCACAAAACUUGGGUAAGAAAGAAAUGCACUCUAAAUAUAAAAGUAAAUAUUGCAUUGCAUAGUUAAUCCUCAAACAAAACACAUCUUUAUUUUAUAUGUUCAAAGUUUAAGUUUUAUUUGAACUUAUUUAGUACUUCUAUUUUAGGUGUGUAUGAUACGUAUAUUUAACUCGGACACUAAAGGAUACUGCUACAGAAUGCCACAUCAUGUAAGACAUUAAAUACUUUCUAAUAUUUUUAUAUUUGCAACAGUGUCAAAACUCAAAACCUCUGCCGUGAUUUUCAUUUAGCAUAAGACAAGAAUAAUUAUAUUCUAGACAAAAAAUCCAUUGAACAACAAUGGCAAGAUAUUACAAAUGAAAUAAAACAAUUAGAGAAGACACAUAUAAAACAAUAAAUUGAAGGAAUGAGUAUUAUGAUGAUAAUGAACAGGUGUGUUCAUCGGCAAAUUAAAUGCACAUUCAGGACGAAAACAAGUUGAUGUAAAUACAUAUUGACAAUAAAAAAGGAAGAUGUGAUAUCUCCCCACAAGAGACUAAAUGACACUGAAAUUAACACCUAUAGGUCACUGUACGACCUUCAACAAUGAGCAAAACCCAUAUCGCAUAGUCAGCUGUAAAAGUCCCCGAAAUGACAAAUGUAACAGUGGUGGAUCCAGAACUUUUCUUAAGGGGGGCCUGCUGACUGACCUAAGAGGAGGCCCGCUCCAGUCAUGCUUCAAUGAUUCCCUAUAUAAUCAACCAAAUUUUUCCAAAGAAAGGGGGGGGGGGCCGGGCCCCCCAGGAUCCGCCUAUGUGUAAAACAAUUCAUACGAGAAAACUAACGGUCCAAUUUAUGUACAAAAAAUGAACGAAAAACAAAUAUGUAACACAUAAACAAACGACAACCACUGAAUUACAGGCUCCUGACUUGGAACGGGCACAUACAUAUAGAACGUGUCGGGUUUUAAAAUGUUAAUGAAAUCCAAACCAUUCCCCUAACCAGAGACAUUGGUGUAACAGUACAAAAUAAGAAAGAUCUUUAAAAAUCAGUUAAGGAUGUUCGCUGCUCAGUUUCAAAAUAAAUAACUUUUCAUUAAACUAGUAUGUAAUAAAUUGAGGAAUCAAAAAAGCCAAAAAAUUAUAGGGGUCAAUGUGGUUGUUUUCGAGAUAUUAGCCAUUGGAAUUGUGGCGGGAAAAUGCUCUCUCUUGAUUUUUCAUAGCUUUAUCAUUGACCAGUUAAAGUUCUCUAAUAUUAUUAAAAAAUAAAUAAAAUUUUAUAAGACUUUUACAAAUGAUUAAUAAUUAUACAUGUAAAAGAUUUAUAAAAAGAAAAAUGGGGGUUCAUGGGGAAAUUUUUUUAAGGUAUUCAAAUGGAUAAAAUCAGAGGAUUCCGAAAAUCUGACAAAAAUUCCAAAACAUAACAAGCAGACAUCCUUAAAAAGGCUUAACUAAUCAGAUUUGUACAAAUAGAAAUCCGUCUAACAAAAAACACAGAGUAGACGCGGCCGGGUACUUAUAUAUCCCAAAAACUGAAAAAUCCCAUUAAGGACUGAUAUGAGAGAACUCGCAGUAACUAACAGCUAAUUUAGUUCAAAGCCACUAACAACUAAUAAAAAAAAUCUUGCAUCUAAGACUAAAUUAUCAAUCAGUACACACCCAACAUUCAGUGAAUUUAGCGUUAUGACUUCAUAAACAGUCAGAGAAAAACAAGACCUUGUGCACUGCAAGUACAGUAUGUCAGAUUGUAGAUCCAUAAUGUGUAUAUGAAUAACAAUAGUCUUGUUAAAAAGACACGGGACCGGAUUUAUAAUCAGCUAGACACAAGGUAACGUCGCAGGAUACUUGCCAUCCACAGUCAUAAUUCGCACCGAUCCAAACAAGUCUUUUCCUCCUUCGUUAUUGCCACGUGUUGAGCAUCUUUAUUAGAAUAAAGCAAGAGAGAAGAAACAUUUAAAAACUAAAGCUCGAAAGAAAACAGACAAUGCAAUGACCAAAUUCAAACAAUGACAAAAGGAAAAAAGACAGUCCAAACGAACCAUACCUUGUAUAUUUAAAAUUACACUUAUAAAUACGACCAGGGAUAAACACAUGUGCUCCGAAAGGUCAAUUUUUCAUGCUUUACGAGUGACAACCAUAGAUUUCAAGUUUAAAUUCAUUUUAAAGUAUAUAAGAAAAAAUGGUAUUUUGGUUACAGGCACCGGAAAUACAACUAUGCGCACACACACUGCUUCAAGAUCUUAAUCAAGGCAAUGCAGACUUAAGUUGCUUUUGUGACAAUGAGAAAUGCAUGCUUGAAUUAGGUAAGUUAUUGUAAGAUGUUAACUGAAGUAGUUGAAUAUUUAUCAAUCAAAGGAGUUACAAAUAAAUUUAAGGCAUAUAUCAAUGAACCAACACACAAUCAUCAAUAUUGUUCUAGAGUCCAACAUUCGAUUUUACAAAAUAAUUUACAAGUGUCAGAAAUAUGAAUAUAUUUAAUUACAAAUACUGAAUUUCGACGAAAAUUCAAAAAGGAAAGUCCCUAAUCAAAUCAAAAUCAAAGUCAAACACAUCAAACAAAUUGAUAAAAACGUCAUAUUUCUGCACUUGAUACAGAAUUUUUCCUAUUAGAAAAUGUGAUUAAACCUGUUUUUUAGCUAGCAAACCUCUCACUUGUAUACAUUCUCAUUUGAUGCAAUUGAUUCUAAGACAAGUGAUUGCAGAAAAGUAAACAAAGACUAUACAAAGAUCUGCUAUCAAGUAAAAAUCUAUAAGAAGCUUGAAAAUUCAAUAAUAUUUUAACGAGAUUCCUGUCUUUAUGAACAAACACAUUAACAAAUGGCAAGGCCAACUUCAUAUGUUUGUUAAACAAAUUUAAUCUUUUCUUCAACCAUUCUAGUUGUAUAAAAAUCAUUACUUUACAGUAUAAGCAUAAAUCAUUUAGAUUUAAUUUGCUUACUUAAAAACUAGGAAGAAAUAUGAUACGAUGUUUUGUUUUUUUUUUUUUUUUUUUGAUACGAUGUUUGUAUAACUGACCGGUCUAUACUUGAAAUAAUUCGUACUUAAAGUCAUGUUUUGUUCAUUGUCAAACACAUCCAUUGUUUUAACAAUAAACAUUACAACAUUUACUUCAUCACACACUUUGAAACUUUUGUAACAUUGAAUGUACUUAAAUAUCAGCAUCUAUGCUAAGAAUAUGUAACAUAUAGAUGCUACGAUAAUGAUUCGUAUUAUUUCAGUCGGACUCUUUAAAAUUUUUCGUGCAUUGGCAAAUGGUGCUGUUUCGACCCAAAGCAGUCAUGUACUUGAUUGCUUGGGAACUCGCUGUUCCAUUGGCCAGGUAAUACAAUAUUUAGACGAACAAGAUCUAUAUCUAAUGUCAAAUAAUCAAUUCAAAAUCACUUACUUGCGAUGACAGUAAAGCUAAUGCCAUCGUGUAAGUUAACAGUACAUCUUGGGGCAUUCAGAGUAACAAUCAUAUGUAUUGACAAGUUUAAACAGUCGGUCAUUAAUAUUGCAGAAAUAACGUAUUCGUCGAUUCGUAGUUGAGGCUUUGAUGUCAAUGUCAUCUUAAAACUAAUACAUUGUCAUUUCGGGGCCUUUUAUAGCUGACUAUGUGGUAUGGGCUUUGCUCACAGUGAAAGUCUACGGAACUAAGUUGUAAUUCGUGCAGUUUGUUCUUGUGAGAGUUGUCUCAUUGUCAAUCAUACCACAUCUUUUUUUUUAUAUAAAUAUUGAAACAUAUAAAGAUGUACAUGUAUUUAUUAUGGAAAACUUGUAGGGGUCAUAACAACACUUUUAUACAACAAGGAAACCAAAGAAAACAUGCCUAAUGAAAAAAGCACUAAAAAUGUAAAAUGGCGUCCGAAGUGCUUUCCUGGAUUUACCUUCUCAAACCUGAACAUUUGAAAACAAGGAAUGCGUAAAUCCGUUGCAAAGUUAGGAAUUAUACGGUAAAAAGCACAUUAAUAAUAGAAUAUAUAAAUAUAUAUAAUAUCAACUUUGCCAGCGAGAGUUGGAUCCUUAUAUUUAAGAAAAUUUAAAUAGAUAAAAACAAAACUGGAAAAUUAACAUUAAAUAGAAUUUGGUACAAAAGUAGCAUGUUAUACAUUGUCGUUUUAUACAUUUAGCUUCUGUGUAUACUAUAUAUAGCAACAUCCUUUACAGAUUUGUUACAUUGAAGACGGUGGGGGAAGUCCAAUAGGAAGAUGCAUGGAAGAUCCAACAAAAUUGGGUACAAAGGUUAUGUUU